UGGGGAAUUUUGGACAAUGGGCGAAAGCCUGAUCCAGCAAUGCCGCGUGUGUGAAGAAGGCCUUCGGGUUGUAAAGCACUUUUGUCCGGAAAGAAAUCCUUGGCUCUAAUACAGUCGGGGGAUACGGUACCGGAAGAAUAAGCACCGGCUAACUACGUGCCAGCAGCCGCGGUAAUACGUAGGGUGCAAGCGUUAAUCGGAAUUACUGGGCGUAAAAGCUGCGCAGGCGGUUUGCUAAGACCCGAUGUGAAAUCCCCGGGCUCAACCUGGGAACUGCAUUGGUGACUGGCAGGGCUAGAGNAUGGCAGAGGGGGGUAGAAUUCCACGUGUANCAGUGAAAUGCGUAGAGAUGUGGAGGAAUACCGAUGGCGAAGGCA
rnacentral:rRNA from 1 species